rnacentral:rRNA from 1 species
UUAAGUUAUUAAGGGCGCACGGUGGAUGCCUUGGCACUAGAAGCCGAUGAAGGACGUUACUAACGACGAUAUGCUUUGGGGAGCUGUAAGUAAGCUUUGAUCCAGAGAUUUCCGAAUGGGGAAACCCAGCAUGAGUUAUGUCAUGUUAUCGAUAUGUGAAUACAUAGCAUAUCAGAAGGCACACCCGGAGAACUGAAACAUCUUAGUACCCGGAGGAAGAGAAAGAAAAUUCGAUUCCCUUAGUAGCGGCGAGCGAAACGGGAAGAGCCCAAACCAACAAGCUUGCUUGUUGGGGUUGUAGGACACUCUAUACGGAGUUACAAAGGACGACAUUAGACGAAUCAUCUGGAAAGAUGAAUCAAAGAAGGUAAUAAUCCUGUAGUCGAAAAUGUUGUCUCUCUUGAGUGGAUCCUGAGUACGACGGAGCACGUGAAAUUCCGUCGGAAUCUGGGAGGACCAUCUCCUAAGGCUAAAUACUCUCUAGUGACCGAUAGUGAACCAGUACCGUGAGGGAAAGGUGAAAAGCACCCCGGAAGGGGAGUGAAAUAGAACCUGAAACCGUGUGCUUACAAGUAGUCAGAGCCCGUUAAUGGGUGAUGGCGUGCCUUUUGUAGAAUGAACCGGCGAGUUACGAUUUGAUGCAAGGUUAAGCAGUAAAUGUGGAGCCGUAGCGAAAGCGAGUCUGAAUAGGGCGUUUAGUAUUUGGUCGUAGACCCGAAACCAGGUGAUCUACCCUUGGUCAGGUUGAAGUUCAGGUAACACUGAAUGGAGGACCGAACCGACUUACGUUGAAAAGUGAGCGGAUGAACUGAGGGUAGCGGAGAAAUUCCAAUCGAACCUGGAGAUAGCUGGUUCUCUCCGAAAUAGCUUUAGGGCUAGCCUCAAGUGAUGAUUAUUGGAGGUAGAGCACUGUUUGGACGAGGGGCCCCUCUCGGGUUACCGAAUUCAGACAAACUCCGAAUGCCAAUUAAUUUAACUUGGGAGUCAGAACAUGGGUGAUAAGGUCCGUGUUCGAAAGGGAAACAGCCCAGACCACCAGCUAAGGUCCCAAAAUAUAUGUUAAGUGGAAAAGGAUGUGGCGUUGCCCAGACAACUAGGAUGUUGGCUUAGAAGCAGCCAUCAUUUAAAGAGUGCGUAAUAGCUCACUAGUCGAGUGACACUGCGCCGAAAAUGUACCGGGGCUAAACAUAUUACCGAAGCUGUGGAUUGUCCUUUGGACAAUGGUAGGAGAGCGUUCUAAGGGCGUUGAAGCAUGAUCGUAAGGACAUGUGGAGCGCUUAGAAGUGAGAAUGCCGGUGUGAGUAGCGAAAGACGGGUGAGAAUCCCGUCCACCGAUUGACUAAGGUUUCCAGAGGAAGGCUCGUCCGCUCUGGGUUAGUCGGGUCCUAAGCUGAGGCCGACAGGCGUAGGCGAUGGAUAACAGGUUGAUAUUCCUGUACCACCUAUAAUCGUUUUAAUCGAUGGGGGGACGCAGUAGGAUAGGCGAAGCGUGCGAUUGGAUUGCACGUCUAAGCAGUAAGGCUGAGUAUUAGGCAAAUCCGGUACUCGUUAAGGCUGAGCUGUGAUGGGGAGAAGACAUUGUGUCUUCGAGUCGUUGAUUUCACACUGCCGAGAAAAGCCUCUAGAUAGAAAAUAGGUGCCCGUACCGCAAACCGACACAGGUAGUCAAGAUGAGAAUUCUAAGGUGAGCGAGCGAACUCUCGUUAAGGAACUCGGCAAAAUGACCCCGUAACUUCGGGAGAAGGGGUGCUCUUUAGGGUUAACGCCCAGAAGAGCCGCAGUGAAUAGGCCCAAGCGACUGUUUAUCAAAAACACAGGUCUCUGCUAAACCGUAAGGUGAUGUAUAGGGGCUGACGCCUGCCCGGUGCUGGAAGGUUAAGAGGAGUGGUUAGCUUCUGCGAAGCUACGAAUCGAAGCCCCAGUAAACGGCGGCCGUAACUAUAACGGUCCUAAGGUAGCGAAAUUCCUUGUCGGGUAAGUUCCGACCCGCACGAAAGGCGUAACGAUUUGGGCACUGUCUCAACGAGAGACUCGGUGAAAUCAUAGUACCUGUGAAGAUGCAGGUUACCCGCGACAGGACGGAAAGACCCCGUGGAGCUUUACUGUAGCCUGAUAUUGAAAUUCGGCACAGCUUGUACAGGAUAGGUAGGAGCCUUUGAAACGUGAGCGCUAGCUUACGUGGAGGCGCUGGUGGGAUACUACCCUAGCUGUGUUGGCUUUCUAACCCGCACCACUUAUCGUGGUGGGAGACAGUGUCAGGCGGGCAGUUUGACUGGGGCGGUCGCCUCCUAAAAGGUAACGGAGGCGCUCAAAGGUUCCCUCAGAAUGGUUGGAAAUCAUUCAUAGAGUGUAAAGGCAUAAGGGAGCUUGACUGCGAGACCUACAAGUCGAGCAGGGUCGAAAGACGGACUUAGUGAUCCGGUGGUUCCGCAUGGAAGGGCCAUCGCUCAACGGAUAAAAGCUACCCCGGGGAUAACAGGCUUAUCUCCCCCAAGAGUUCACAUCGACGGGGAGGUUUGGCACCUCGAUGUCGGCUCAUCGCAUCCUGGGGCUGUAGUCGGUCCCAAGGGUUGGGCUGUUCGCCCAUUAAAGCGGUACGCGAGCUGGGUUCAGAACGUCGUGAGACAGUUCGGUCCCUAUCCGUCGUGGGCGUAGGAAAUUUGAGAGGAGCUGUCCUUAGUACGAGAGGA